GUCCACAAAACAGGCCACAACCAAGGUCA
rnacentral:piRNA from 1 species